rnacentral:tRNA from 1 species
GUCCGGAUGGCCGAGCGGUCUAAGGCGCUGCGUUUAGGUCGCAGUCUCCUCUGGAGGCGUGGGUUCAAAUCCCACUUCUGACA